rnacentral:rRNA from 1 species
GACGAACGCUGGCGGCGUGCUUAACACAUGCAAGUCGAACGGAAAGGCCCUGCUUUUGUGGGGUGCUCGAGUGGCGAACGGGUGAGUAACAUGUGAGUAACCUGCGCUUGACUUUGGGACAACUUCAGGAAACUGGGGCUACUACCGGCUAGGAGCUCCUGCUGCAUGGGGGGGGUCGGAAAGCUUCGGCUGAUGGGGAUGUACUCGCGGCUUAUCAGCUUGUUGGUGGGGUAGUGGCUUAGCAAGGGUUUGGCGGGUAGCCGGCCUGGGUGGGUGACCGGCGUCAUUAGGACUGAGAUACGGCCCAGACUCCUACGUGAGGCAGCAGUGGGGAAUAUGGCACAGUGGGGGGGAGCCUGUGGCGGCAACGCCGGGUGCGGGAUGACGGCCUUCGGGUUAUAAACCGCAUUCGGCUGUGACGAAGCGUGAGUGACGGUAAUGGGUGAAGAAGCACCGGCUAACUACGUG